rnacentral:rRNA from 1 species
AUGCCUCUCUUCAAGAGGACACCUUUCUUCUUACUGGACCCGCCAAAGGACUUGGAUCCCAAGGAGAAGGUGUUCCAAGUUCGAUUUACUAAGGAGAUAUUUCGAGAUUACCAGGAAUACCUGAAUAGGUUGAACCUUUACCGUAAAAGAGUUUGGACAUGUAAGGUGUCUGGAAAAUCCAAUUUAACCUAUGAGGAAGCUUUGGUCUCAGAGCAGCGCGCUGCAGAGAAGGCUCAACAGUUGCCAAGAGAGCUUAUGUCUCCUGUUCUCCAGAUGAUUCAAUACAGUACACUUAGCUUAACUGACCUUGUCAACAAGAUAUAUGGCAGUCUGCAAGAGAAUCUGUUUGAAGGAUUAGAAUUACAUGCUAAAAGAGAUGGUUUGGAGGCUGCUUGCAAGAUUCUGAAGGUUAUAGGUUCAGGUGAAACCACAAGCUAUGAGGUGGGCUGGAUUGGUCAAGACAAUGCAAUUACCAGCACUUCAGUUCUCAGAGCGGACGAUCUGAUUCGCAAGAAAGCGCCUUGUGGUCGUAAUAUGCUCAAGAUUUUUAUCAGGGAAUCAACAUCACAAAACUCUCCAUGGAUCGUACAUAUGAAUCUUGCGAAGAAAUAUGGCAUACCCACCGAGCCUCCAAAAGACAUGAUUAAUGGUGAAGGAUUGUCCAAAGCAAGGAAAAGACUAGCGAAUGGGACUGCAGAAGAUGCCAGCAAAAGGUCAAAGAAAGAUGAAGAGGAACAAGUAGUACCAGUUAAAUACCCAAUCGAUGAUCUUUUAGUAAAGCCGGUGGCAGAUGACCCUGUUUUGUCGAAGAGAUGCCCACCAUCCACAGAUUUCAAAGUCCCUAUAAGUUCUGUGGGAGAUCUCCUGAUGGUCUGGGAUUUCUGCAUGUCUUUUGGGAGGCUUUUAUGCUUGUCGCCGUUUUCCCUAUCAGAUCUGGAGAAUGCAAUUUGCCACAAAGAAACCAAUCUUGUUCUUCUUGUGGAAAUACAUACUGCACUUCUCAAUUUGCUUAUUAAUGAUGAAGGUGAAUAUUUUGAGUUUAUCCAGGACAAGAACAGAAAAUCAAAGGUAUCUUUAGUCACAUGGAAGGAGUAUCUAUGUGAUUUCAUGGAAAUGACAAGUAUCUCCAGUAACAUAUCAACAGUACGAAGGGGUCACUAUGGUCUUGUUCCCACUAGCCUGAAACUUGAAAUCCUACGGGAAUUGGUAGAUGAAGCCAUUGCAACUAUUGCUGUAAAAGAGAAAUUAGAUGAACGCAUUGAUCAGCAACAAGCACUUGCAGCAGAAAAAAGAGAGAUUGCUAGAAAGAAUAAGGAAGAGCAGAAGCUGAUCAUGGAAGUGGCAACAGAAAAGGAAAUGAAUCAGACAAAUGCUGUACAGGACGGCAACGAGAAUGUUAAUGGCCAGCUUGUGGCAAAAGAAGGGAAGGAGAGGAAGAACACUCCCGCCAGCAAAAUGGGAGAUGCGAAAUUGCAUCUGGGGAGGCAUCUUGAGAAAGAACUACUGGACCAAUCAGUACGAACUAGUCCUCUUGGAAAAGACAGAUUCUAUAACAGGUAUUGGUUUUUUAAGCGUGAAGGAAGACUUUUUGUUGAAAGUGCAGAUUCCAAAGAGUGGGGGUACUAUAGCACCAAGGAAGAGCUUGAUGCGCUCAUUGGGUCUUUAAACAUUAAAGGCAUAAGGGAGAGAGCACUCAAACAACAGCUUGACAAGUUCUACAACAAGAUAAGUAUUGCUGUGGAGAAGAGAUUGAAGGAGGUGACACAUCAGUUGUUAGUUGAAGAGGCUGUAUUGCGGCGUUCUUCUCGUGUACAUGCUCAUCCAAAGGACAGCCCCUCUACGUCAUUCCUCGAGUAUGUCAACACAUGGAAGCCUAUUACAAAGAGAAACAAAUCAAAAGAAGAUCGAGCUACUUAG